rnacentral:rRNA from 1 species
GACGAACGCUGGCGGCGUGCUUAACACAUGCAAGUCGAACGGAAAGGCCCUGCUUUUGUGGGGUGCUCGAGUGGCGAACGGGUGAGUAACACGUGAGUAACCUGCCCUUGACUUUGGGAUAACUUCAGGAAACUGGGGCUAAUACCGGAUAGGAGCUCCUGCUGCAUGGUGGGGGUUGGAAAGUUUCGGCGGUUGGGGAUGGACUCGCGGCUUAUCAGCUUGUUGGUGGGGUAGUGGCUUACCAAGGCUUUGACGGGUAGCCGGCCUGAGAGGGUGACCGGCCACAUUGGGACUGAGAUACGGCCCAGACUCCUACGGGAGGCAGCAGUGGGGAAUAUUGCACAAUGGGCGGAAGCCUGAUGCAGCAACGCCGCGUGCGGGAUGACGGCCUUCGGGUUGGAAACCGCUUUCGCCUGUGACGAAGCGUGAGUGACGGUAAUGGGUAAAGAAACACCGGCUAACUACGU